UACGGGGGGUGCGAGCGUUGUCCGGAAUCACUGGGCGUAAAGGGCGCGUAGGUGGUUUGAUAAGGGUGUGGUGAAAGUCCGGGGCUCAACCCCGGAUCUGCCGUGCCGACUGUCAAACUCGAGGACUGUAGAGGCAGACGGAAUUCCGGGUGUAGCGGUGGAAUGCGUAGAGACCCGGAGGAAGACCGGUGGCGAAGGCGGUCUGCUGGGCAGUUUCUGACACUGAGGCGCGACAGCGUGGGGAGCAAACAGG
rnacentral:rRNA from 1 species